rnacentral:rRNA from 1 species
AGUGAACGCUGGCGGUAGGCCUAACACAUGCAAGUCGAACGGCAGCACAGUAAGAGCUUGCUCUUACGGGUGGCGAGUGGCGGACGGGUGAGGAAUACAUCGGAAUCUACUUUUUCGUGGGGGAUAACGUAGGGAAACUUACGCUAAUACCGCAUACGACCUACGGGUGAAAGCAGGGGAUCUUCGGACCUUGCGCGAUUGAAUGAGCCGAUGUCGGAUUAGCUAGUUGGCGGGGUAAAGGCCCACCAAGGCGACGAUCCGUAGCUGGUCUGAGAGGAUGAUCAGCCAAACUGGAACUGAGACACGGUCCAGACUCCUACGGGGGGCAGCAGUGGGGAAUAUUGGAAAAUGGGCGCAAGCCUGAUCCCGCCAUACCGGGUGGGGGAAGAAGGCCUUCGGGUUGUAAAGCCCUUUUGUUGGGAAAAAAAAGCAGCAGGUUAAUACCCCGCUGUUCUGACGGUACCCAAAGAAAAAGCACCGGCUAACUUCGU